UCAUGAAGUUUGUUGGUGAUAGGUUUAACAAUGCUUUCAUGGUGUAGCGAGAUGGAGUUCUGGUCGCUAGAUGCCUCCUCUGAUGUUAUAUAGUGGGUAGUGACAUUAUGUGUUAAAGGAGGGAGUUCUAUCGUUAUAGAAUCAAUAGGGAUACAUACUUUACUGGUAGGAUGACUUUCUAAUGCAUUAAUGGAAUUAUUAAUUAUUUGUUUUUUAUUAUCUGUGGCAGCCUUGUCUAUUAGAGUAGAAGCAUCUAAGUUUU
rnacentral:lncRNA from 1 species